rnacentral:rRNA from 1 species
UACGUAGGGUCCGAGCGUUGUCCGGAAUUAUUGGGCGUAAAGAGCUCGUAGGCGGUUUGUCGCGUCUGCUGUGAAAUCCCGAGGCUCAACCUCGGGCCUGCAGUGGGUACGGGCAGACUGGAGUACUGCAGGGGGAGACUGGAAUUCCUGGUGUAGCGGUGGAAUGCGCAGAUAUCAGGGAGGAACACCGGUGGGCGAAGGCGGGGUCUCUGGGCAGUAACUGAC